UUAAUUUAAUUAAAUUAAUGUCAGAAUUAAUGAAAUGAACUUAAAAUUCAUAAAUAAGAAAUU
rnacentral:tRNA from 1 species